UACGUAGGUGGCAAGCGUUGUCCGGAUUUACUGGGCGUAAAGAGCGCGCAGGCGGCCGAGUAAGUCGAAUGUGAAAGCCCCCGGCUCAACUGGGGAACGUCAUUCGAUACUGUUCGGCUCGAAGAUAGGAGAGGGAAGCGGAAUUUCAGGUGUAGUGGUGAAAUGCGUAGAUAUCUGAAGGGACACCAGUGGCGAAGGCGGCCGCCUGGACCUGACCUGACGCUGAGGCGCGAAGGCGUGGGGAGCGAACGGG
rnacentral:rRNA from 1 species